rnacentral:rRNA from 1 species
UCCGAAGGGGGCUAUCGUUGUUCGGAAUCACUGGGCGUAAAGCGCACGUAGGCGGCUUGUUAAGUCAGAGGUGAAAGCCUGGAGCUCAACUCCAGAACUGCCUUUGAUACUGGCAAGCUCGAGGAUGGCAGAGGUUGGUGGAACUCCGAGUGUAGAGGUGAAAUUCGUAGAUAUUCGGAAGAACACCAGUGGCGAAGGCGGCCAACUGGGCCAUUACUGACGCUGAGGUGCGAAAGCGUGGGGAGAAAACAGG